rnacentral:lncRNA from 1 species
AGAACGUCCACACAAGCGCCUAGCUUCAACGUGUCGAUUGGGCAAGUCUCUGGCUUAGGUGGAGUUGGUGUUGGCGGUGUUACGACCGGUGGGCUUGGUGUUGGUGGCGUAACAACAGGUGGCGGUGGGCACGGUGAUGGCGGUGGCGGUGGGCACGGUGAUGGCGGCGUUACGACGGGUGGAGGCGUAUGAGUGGGUGGUUUAGGGGUGGACGGAGGUGGUUUAACAGUGGGCGGUUUCGUGGGUGGUUUCGGGGUAGACGGAGGAGGUUUAACGGUGGGCGGUUUCGUGGGUGGUUUCGGGGUGGACGGAGGUGGUUUAACGGUGGGCGGUUUCGUGGGUGGUUUCGGGGUGGGAUGAGGUUUGGUAGGGGGUUUCGGAUGUGGGUGUGGUUUGACAGUGGGCGGUUUGGUAGGGGGUUUAGGGUGUGGGUGUGGUUUGACGGUGGGUGGUUUGGGAGGUUUUACUGCCGGUGGUUUAGGCGGUUUGCUAGGAUGUUUAGGCGGUUUGUGGGGGUGAGGUGAUGGUUUAGGAGGGCUACAGUCGCAAGCGAAGGAGACGGCAAGAAAGCCAAGGAAGAGGAAGAUAAGAAAAGAGAGGUUUUGUGUACGAGACCCCAUUUUUCUAGA